GGAUUCCCCUAGUAWCUGCGAGUGAAGCGGGAAAAGCUCAAAUUUAAAAUCUGACAGUUGUUUUGGCUGUCCGAGUUGUAAUCUAGAGAAGUGUCUACCCGCGCUGGACCGUGUACAAGUCUCCUGGAAUGGAGCAUCAUAGAGGGUGAGAAUCCCGUCUUUGACAUGGAUCUACCAGGGCUUUGUGGUGCACUCUCAAAGAGUCGAGUUGUUUGGGAAUGCAGCUCAAAAUGGGUGGUAAAUGCCAUCUAAAGCUAAAUAUUGGCGAGAGACCGAUAGCGAACAAGUACCGUGAGGGAAAGAUGAAAAGAACUUUGGAAAGAGAGUUAAACAGUACGUGAAAUUGCUGAAAGGGAAACGCUUGAAGUCAGUCGCAUCGACUGGAAAUCAACCUUGCUUUUGCAUGGUGUACUUUCUGGCUGAUGGGUCAGCAUCAAUUUUGAUUGCUGGAUAAAGGCUUGGGGAAUGUGGCAUCUUUGGAUGUGUUAUAGCCCCUGGCUGCAUACGGCAGUUGGGAUUGAGGAACUCAGCAUGCCGCAAGGCCGGGUCUUUUUGACCACRUAUAUGUGCUUAGGAUGCUGGCAUAAUGGCUUUAAUCGACCCGUCUUGAAACACGGACCAAGGAGUCUAACAUGCAUGYGAGUGUUUGGGUGGAAAACCCAUGCGCGCAAUGAAAGUGAAAGUUGAGAUCCCUGUCGUGGGGAGCAUCGACGCCCAGACCAGACCUUUUGUGACGGAUCUGCGGUAGAGCAUGUAUGUUGGGACCCGAAAGAUGGUGAACUAUGCCUGAAUAGGGUGAAGCCAGAGGAAACUCUGGUGGAGGCUCGUAGCGAUUCUGACGUGCAAAUCGAUCGUCAAAUUUGGGUAUAGGGGCGAAAGACUAAUCGAACCAUCUAGUAGCUGGUUCCUGCCGA
rnacentral:rRNA from 1 species